rnacentral:rRNA from 1 species
UACGAAGGGGGGCUAGCGUUGCUCGGAAUCACUGGGCGUAAAGGGUGCGUAGGCGGGUUUUUAAGUCAGGGGUGAAAUCCUGGAGCUCAACUCCAGAACUGCCUUUGAUACUGAAGAUCUUGAGUUCGGGAGAGGUGAGUGGAACUGCGAGUGUAGAGGUGAAAUUCGUAGAUAUUCGCAAGAACACCAGUGGCGAAGGCGGCUCACUGGACUGGUAUUGACGCUGAGGUGCGAAAGCGUGGGGAGCAAACAGG